UCCCAUGUAGUCUAUCGGUUAGGAUACUCCGCUUUCAAACUCUAUCCGGAGAGGGCCGGGUUCGAUUCCCGGCGUGGGAA
rnacentral:tRNA from 1 species